rnacentral:rRNA from 1 species
GAUGAACGCUGGCGGCGUGCCUAAUACAUGCAAGUCGAGCGAACAGACGAGGAGCUUGCUCCUCUGACGUUAGCGGCGGACGGGUGAGUAACACGUGGAUAACCUACCUAUAAGACUGGGAUAACUUCGGGAAACCGGAGCUAAUACCGGAUAACAUGUUGAACCGCAUGGUUCAACAGUGAAAGACGGUUUUGCUGUCACUUAUAGAUGGAUCCGCGCCGCAUUAGCUAGUUGGUAAGGUAACGGCUUACUAAGGCAACGAUGCGUAGCCGACCUGAGAGGGUGAUCGGCCACACUGGAACUGAGACACGGUCCAGACUCCUACGGGAGGCAGCAGUAGGGAAUCUUCCGCAAUGGGCGAAAGCCUGACGGAGCAACGCCGCGUGAGUGAAGAAGGUCUUCGGAUCGUAAAACUCUGUUAUUAGGGAAGAACAAAUGUGUAAGUAACUAUGCACGUCUUGACGGUACCUAAUCAGAAAGCCACGGCUAACUACGUG